rnacentral:rRNA from 1 species
GACACGGAGCUUGCUCUGUGGGAUCAGUGGCGAACGGGUGAGUAACACGUGAGCAACCUGCCCCUGACUCUGGGAUAAGCGCUGGAAACGGCGUCUAAUACUGGAUAUGUGACGUGACCGCAUGGUCUGCGUCUGGAAAGAAUUUCGGUUGGGGAUGGGCUCGCGGCCUAUCAGCUUGUUGGUGAGGUAAUGGCUCACCAAGGCGUCGACGGGUAGCCGGCCUGAGAGGGUGACCGGCCACACUGGGACUGAGACACGGCCCAGACUCCUACGGGAGGCAGCAGUGGGGAAUAUUGCACAAUGGGCGCAAGCCUGAUGCAGCAACGCCGCGUGAGGGACGACGGCCUUCGGGUUGUAAACCUCUUUUAGCAGGGAAGAAGCGAAAGUGACGGUACCUGCAGAAAAAGCGCCGGCUAACUACGUGCCAGCAGCCGCGGUAAUACGUAGGGCGCAAGCGUUAUCCGGAAUUAUUGGGCGUAAAGAGCUCGUAGGCGGUUUGUCGCGUCUGCUGUGAAAUCCGGAGGCUCAACCUCCGGCCUGCAGUGGGUACGGGCAGACUAGAGUGCGGUAGGGGAGAUUGGAAUUCCUGGUGUAGCGGUGGAAUGCGCAGAUAUCAGGAGGAACACCGAUGGCGAAGGCAGAUCUCUGGGCCGUAACUGACGCUGAGGAGCGAAAGGGUGGGGAGCAAACAGGCUUAGAUACCCUGGUAGUCCACCCCGUAAACGUUGGGAACUAGUUGUGGGGUCCAUUCCACGGAUUCCGUGACGCAGCUAACGCAUUAAGUUCCCCGCCUGGGGAGUACGGCCGCAAGGCUAAAACUCAAAGGAAUUGACGGGGACCCGCACAAGCGGCGGAACAUGCGGAUUAAUUCGAUGCAACGCGAAGAACCUUACCAGGCUUGACUAUACGAGAACGGGCCAAAAUGGUCACUCUUUGGACCUCG